UACCAAUUCCCAAGUCUCAUUCUUAUUUAUGAUGUAAAUUUCAUCACCCAUUGCCCCCCUCCAUUCAUUGAAGUUUAUAGCCUCUUCAAAAGUGGCUGGUUCCACCCAAGUGAGGUAACAAGCCUCUUCCACUUGGUUUGCUUCACCCUCUUGUCUUUCCACUUCAUGAUAUAUUUCACUUAACUUUUUGACUUUAUGAAUUUGUCGAGAUGAACUACCUGCUGCAGAUUCACUUUCGCUUAAUUGAAAAGGAAUCAAAACAUGACAUAUGCACCCGAAUAUCUUGAGGUGUCCUAUUGAUGGUUUGUGUCCACACCAGACCUCCAAAGGUGUUUUUUGAUUCAAUGCUUUGGUGGGAAGUCUGUUUUGGAGGUAAGUGGCUGUGAAGAUAGCUUCUGCCCAGAAUUUGUCUGGCAUUCUCUUAUUCUUUAACAUACUUCUUGCCAUGUCCAGUAGAGUUCUGUUUCUACGCUCAGCAACUCCAUUCUGCUGAGGUGGCAAACGUCUCUGACUUCAUUUUCAGAAAAUACACCCACAACAUGUGCGAGUAAUCAUCUGUGAAGGUUGUGGAAUCCUGAGUGUCCAAGUCUUUUGUGCCACAACUCAGACAAGUUUUCUGCUUUGGCCAUUCUUACACUUUCUUCUGCUAACUGCAUACGCAACAGGUAAGCAUUUCUUACCAUCUCUACUUCAGCAAUCUUAUCCCCUCGUUCAUUGUGAAUGAUGCAUUUGUUAUCAACAAACAAAACCUGAUAGCCAUUUCUUGUCAUCUGUGGAACACUCAACAAGUUUUUAUCUAUCUCUGGAACAAGAAAAACAU